UGGGGAAGUCGUGGGCAC
rnacentral:snRNA from 1 species